rnacentral:rRNA from 1 species
GUUAGACUUGAGAAUGGACGAGGUAGGCGGAAUUCGUAGUGUAGCGGUGAAAUGCAUAGAUAUUACGAAGAACUCCAAUAGUGUAGACUGCUUACCAGACCAUAUCUGACACUAAGGCACGAAAGUGUGGGUAUCAAACAGGAUUAGAUACCCUGGUAGUCCACACAGUAAACGAUGAAUACUAACUGUUUGCGAUAUACAGCAAGUGGUCGAGCGAAAGCGUUAAGUAUUCCACCUGGGAAGUAUGCCGGCAACGGUGAAACUCAAAGGAAUUGACGGGGGCCCGCACAAGCGGAGGAACAUGUGGUUUAAUUCGAUAAUACGCGAGGAACCUUACCCGGGCUCGAACGAUAUUUGAAUACAUCCGAAAAGAUGUAGCUAGCAAUAGCAAAUACCGAGGUGCUGCAUGGUUGUCGUCAGCUCGUGCCGUGAGGUGUCGACUUAAGUGUCAUAACGAGCGCAACCCUUACCGAUAGUUACCAUCAGAUAAUGCUGGGGACUCUAUUGGGACUGCCACCGUAAGGUGUGAGGAAGGAGAGGAUGACGUCAAAUCAGCACGGCCCUUAUGUCCGGGGCGACACACGUGUUACAAUGGGAGAAACAAAGGGUCGCUACCUGGCAACAGGAUGCUAAUCUCGAAAAUCUCUCUCAGUUCGGAUUGGAGUCUGCAACUCGACUCCAUGAAGCUGGAUUCGCUAGUAAUCGCACAUCAGCCAUGGUGCGGUGAAUACGUUCCCGGGCCUUGUACACACCGCCCGUCAAGCCAUGGAAGCUGGAAGUACCUGAAGUAUGUAACUGAAAAGAGCGUCCU